rnacentral:rRNA from 1 species
CAGCCGCCGCGGGAAUACAGAGGGUGCAAGCGUUAAUCGGAAUUACUGGGCGUAAAGCGCGCGUAGGUGGUUUGUUAAGUUGGAUGUGAAAUCCCCGGGCUCAACCUGGGAACUGCAUCCAGAACUGGCAAGCUAGAGUAUGGUAGAGGGUGGUGGAAUUUCCUGUGUAGCGGUGAAAUGCGUAGAUAUAGGAAGGAACACCAGUGGCGAAGGCGACCACCUGGACUGAUACUGACACUGAGGUGCGAAAGCGUGGGGAGCAAACAGGAUUAGAUACCCCGGUAGUCCCUGUCUCUUAUAC